GGUGAAAAGUGCCAAACUCCUCAUCUGAGUGUAUUUAUCCUGUUACAUUUCCUCUUUUCAUUCUUUCUAAGUAAUGAAGCCACGAAAAUGAUAGCAAAUAGUUUUGUGAGGGUUCUCUUUUGUUGUAUUCCAUGUGUUUUAUGUAUACUGGACUCAAGGGAUUUCCCAUCGAGUUUUUGGUCCCCCGAACAAGGGUACUGUAAGGACACGUACAGGUGUGGGGGUAAUUCCUCCUCCCGAACCCCGGAAAAUUGUCAGUGCGAUUCCAACUGCCCUGUGUAUGGGGACUGUUGUCCAGGAGUGAAAAUAAUUAAUCGAACCGAGGACAAGGACUUUCCAAAUAUUUCAUGUGAAUACAGGAGGGACAUAGAUUCCGACAACUUUAUAUACAUUGUGAACACCUGUCCUGAAGGUGGCGAUACUUUCCUUAAAAGUAAAUGUGAAAACGCAAACGGCACUGAUGUUUUUGGAAAAAUUCCGGCGAGUGGGCUAAUUUCUGGGUUGUUGUAUAGAAAUAUGUAUUGUGCUCGAUGUAAUUUAGACAAUUAUAUCUUAUGGAAUCCUGGAAUUCAGUGUAAAUGGAAAUUAUCUGUACCAAAUAAUUUAUCUGUUUCUUUAUUACUGAACGAUACCGAUUGUGAAAUGACCUUUUCUCCUCCAGAAACAAACCUUACUCAAAGGACUUGUUUUCCCGCAAUCAGUGUGACAAAAUGCCCCAACGAAACACUAAUGACGUCAUGUAUCUCAGGACCCUAUAUUCCUGUAUUCGGAACAAAAAUAGCAUUCCGGAACACGGACUGUGCAAGGUGUCAGAAUUAUCCAGAAUCUAAUCUUACGUGCAGUAUGAAAUCAUCUCAGCUAAUUCCGAACAAAACGAAAAGGAAAUUUUAUAAUUAUAGUUACCGGGUUCUGUUUGAUUUAAAUUUGAGGAAAAAGAAAGCGGAGACCCGUUAUCGAUCAUUGGUUAUAAACGAUUCCUCAGAUUCCCUACCAUCAGUAUGCGACACGGGCCACCUGCUAGACCCAUUUACCGACCAAUGUCACGAGAUAGUUUGCGUUCCUCCUUUUGUAUAUCUAAAUGGUAAAUGUUUAUUGAGAGAACGGAUAGCCAACGACCCUAACAUCACCUCAUCCCCGUGUGCCUCCCGCUUGUUUCGCCAGAAUGAGUUCAAAAAGAUCAACUCCUCUACAAUCUUCUUACUUUUUCUAAAUAAAACGACUCAAGAAUUCACCUUGUCGGAGAACGGAACCGCGGUGUACGUUUGUAUAAACGAAAUCCAGAUUGAUAAAUCUAUACUUUAUACAACGCUGACAGCCGAUUUUUCACGGGAGGAAGGACUUUUAUCCUUCAUCGGCGGACUGCUUUCAAUAACCAGUCUCUUUUUUGCUUGUGUGUUUAUACCUGUUCGUCCAAGUUACACAAUGUGCCCGGGAAAAACCUCACGUGUCUAAUGGCGUCCCUGUUCUUUGCACAAUUGUUAUUUUUGGUGGCGCCAUUUGUUUUUCAGAUGAAAAUCCAAAGUUUAUGCAAAGCGCUAUCAAUUUUUACACAUUUUGCAUUUUUAGCGGCAUUUUUCUGGAUGAAUGUAAUGUCAUUUGACAUAUUUUUCACCUUUUCAAAAGGAUUUGUAAAUUCCGGUAAUAAGGAAAGUUCCUCGCGGCGUUUCCGGUUUUACUCGCUGUAUGCCUGGUCGGGGGCUCUUGUUCUUGUGGGGUCUGCAUCCCUUACUGAUCAAGUUUCAGAAUUUGCCUUCAGGCCUGAGUAUGGCGUUGGAUUUUGCUGGAUUUCAAACAGCAAAGGUUUACUACUGUUUUUCUUGAUACCAAUUGCUAUAUUGCUGUUAUCAAACUUCGUAUUUUUCGUUAUAUCAGCCAUUAGCAUACAUACAUCAUCCCGAAAAACGUCCCGGGUGCUUAAGAGAAAAGACACAUGUAAAUUGUUGAUUUACAUCAAACUCUCUGUAGUGAUGGGACUCACCUGGUGUUUCGGCUUUGCGGCAGCAGUCACAAAUGAUCACGUGAUCUGGUAUUUGUUUCUCUUGUUCAACACUUUACAAGGUUUCUUCAUCACAGUGUUUUUUGUAUGCACGAAGAAAGUUUUUCGAAUCGUACGCGAUGGAGCUACUUCGAUCUAUUCCAGCACUAGGUCCUUUAAUUUGACAAGGUCCACAAAUUCACGAUCUGAAAGUGAGGAAGGUCUAAAGCACGUGUCCAGGAAACGAUAAGUGCAGAGACUGGACAAAGAACAUGGACCGUCAUGUUACUGCACUCACAUGUAGACGUACCAUGUGGGGUUUGGUACUAUUUUACGUGGGGUGGUAGUGAAUAAAAAUUUGUUUUUUUAAUAUAAAAGUUUUAAAUGCAUGUAUAUGUACUAGUAAUGUUGCAGCCAGAGAAAAAGGUUGUGAAUCGUGUUUAGGAACAUUUUAUUGUCUAAGAGUUUACGUUUGUUUGAUAAAAUCAUUAAAUUGAGAAAAUUU
rnacentral:sRNA from 1 species